rnacentral:snoRNA from 1 species
AAGAUCAUACUUCACAGGAUCAUUUCUGUAGUAUGUUUGAUCGUUUUCUCAUUUAGAAAUCGAAAGUCUUUACAGCCAUGAUGAUGAGGUGUAGAGGCUGACUCAGAGCAUGAAAGGUGAUAUUGUAGAUUUAUAUCUGCAAUAUUUUUGAUGAUUGCUUAAUUUCCCUUAAGUGGGGUAAUUAACGAGUCAGACUCUUUCUGAGUGGU